rnacentral:rRNA from 1 species
AAUCAACGCUGGCGGCGUGCCUCAGACAUGCAAGUCGAACGAUUAAAGCUCCCUUCGGGGAGUGCAUAAAGUGGCGCACGGGUGAGUAACACGUAAGUAAUCUACCCUCGAGUGGGGAAUAACGUCCGGAAACGGACGCUAAUACCGCAUAAUGCAUCGGCACCGAAAGGUCACAGUCGUUAAAGAUUUAUCGCUUGAGGAGGAGCUUGCGGCAGAUGAGCUAGUUGGUAAGGUAAUGGCUUACCAAGGCCGUUAUCUGUAACCGGUCUAAGAGGACGUUCGGUCACACUGACACUGAAUAACGGGUCAGACUCCUACGGGAGGCAGCAGUCGGGAAUUUUGGGCAAUGGGCGAAAGCCUGACCCAGCAACGCCGCGUGAAGGAUGAAGUAUUUCGGUAUGUAAACUUCGAAAGAAUGGGAAGAAUAAAUGACGGUACCAUUUAUAAGCUCCGGCUAACUACGUGCCAGCCGCCGCCGUAACAC